UACGUAGGUGGCAAGCGUUGUCCGGAAUUAUUGGGCGUAAAGCGCGCGCAGGCGGCCUCUUAAGUCUGAUGUGAAAGCCCCCGGCUCAACCGGGGAGGGCCAUUGGAAACUGGGAGGCUUGAGUAUAGGAGAGAAGAGUGGAAUUCCACGUGUAGCGGUGAAAUGCGUAGAGAUGUGGAGGAACACCGGUGGCGAAGGCGACUCUUUGGCCUAUAACUGACGCUGAGGCGCGAAAGCGUGGGGAGCAAACAGG
rnacentral:rRNA from 1 species